GCUAGAAACAGGAGGUCUGAGGCAGCUUCCAGGUGAGCUGUAGAGUAGUAGCAAUGAAAGCUGAAGUCACCCCGGCUAGGUAGAGCCCCCAGAGCAGCCCUGACCUUCUAGCGUCUUUGGACUCCACCAACCCAAGAGUACAAACUGUGCAGUCCAAUGAAUCUCCUGCCCCUGUGCUUGUUAUCAGAAUCGCAGGAAAUCCCUUGGACUUCAUAGCCCUGCCACUGUCCAGCUUGAAAAGUUCCUAUUGCUGCCAUCUCAGCUUUCCCAGUGAGGCUGGUAUGGAGGUAAGGCUGAGGAGAAAUAAGACUCAGUACAGCAAGGUACUUAAGCAUGGGCCUAACUUUAAGCACAUAACUAGUUCCCUUGAAGUCACUGAUGAUACUCACCUGAAGAUGUGACCCAAUAAGUGAUGUUUUGGUUCAGUGGCCAAAACAAAAAUUCUGAAAAAAAUAAAAUAAACUUGAGCCAAUCGGAAAUGGAAAUGUUUUGUUUUGAUUUUUUUCUCAUCAAAAUGAAAAAACAAAGAAUAUCAUUUGACCCAGAAGGAAUUUUUGGAUGGCUUUUUUCAUUGUUUUAUUUUUGUUUUGUUUUUUAAAUGAAGUUAGCAUUUUGAAGUCAAAACUCAGUCUUUCAUU